rnacentral:rRNA from 1 species
GACCUACGGGUGAAAGGGGGCUUUUAGCUCUCGCUAUUAGAUGAGCCUAAGUCGGAUUAGCUGGUUGGUGGGGUAAAGGCCUACCAAGGCGACGAUCUGUAGCUGGUCUGAGAGGAUGAUCAGCCACACUGGGACUGAGACACGGCCCAGACUCCUACGGGAGGCAGCAGUGGGGAAUAUUGGACAAUGGGCGAAAGCCUGAUCCAGCCAUGCCGCGUGUGUGAAGAAGGCCUUUUGGUUGUAAAGCACUUUAAGUGGGGAGGAAAAGCUUAUGGUUAAUACCCAUAAGCCCUGACGUUACCCACAGAAUAAGCACCGGCUAACUCUGUGCCAGCAGCCGCGGUAAUACAGAGGGUGCAAGCGUUAAUCGGAAUUACUGGGCGUAAAGCGCGCGUAGGUGGUUAUUUAAGUCAGAUGUGAAAGCCCCGGGCUUAACCUGGGAACUGCAUCUGAUACUGGAUAACUAGAGUAGGUGAGAGGGGAGUAGAAUUCCAGGUGUAGCGGUGAAAUGCGUAGAGAUCUGGAGGAAUACCGAUGGCGAAGGCAGCUCCCUGGCAUCAUACUGACACUGA